rnacentral:rRNA from 1 species
UACGUGAGCUCCAAGCGUUACCCGGAAUUAUUGGGUGUAAAGGGUCCGUAGGUGGAUUCUUAAGUCAGGUAUGAAAGACCGAGGCUCAACCUCGCGUUUGUGCUUGAAACUGGGAAUCUGGAAUCAGGGAGAGGUUAGCGGAAUUCUAAGUGUAGGGGUGCAAUCCGUAGAUACUUAGAAGAACACCAAAAGCGAAGGCAGCUAACUGGAACUGUAUUGACACUGAGGGACGAAAGCGUGGGGAGCAAAAAGG